CUGAAAUGGGAAAGGCAGCGCCCCCGACUCUGGGGACUGGACCGAACUCCACGGUAGUGACAGCUGCCAGACCCUGAGGAGAGGACGAGAAGACCUGAGGCCUCUGCUACGAACACUGGCAGCCGAUGGAAAAUUCAGACGGAUUUGGGACAGUAUGCAGAGUUCUCCAAGCGACAGAUUAACAGAGGCUCUUGAAGGAUAACUGUGUAAUCACGUGUUCUGCUCAAAAGAAGGCCUGAAUGCCCAGUGCCUUAUUUGGCUUUCAGGGGUCUUGCUGUGUCACCCAGGCUGGAGUACAGUGGUGCAGUCAUAGCUCACUGCUGCCUCAAACUCCUAGACUCAGGCAAUCCUCCUGCUUCAGCCUCCCGAGUAGCUGGGACUACAGGUAGAUGAUGGGCUCCAUGGGAACAGAGCAAACGUUCGCUCCUGCCUCCUACACGGUGUUUCCUCUAAACCUGAGGCUCAGCAGACUUGUCAUCACUUAAAACCCAAUUCAGAGCGGGGGGCACUGCCAGUGAAUAGUUCAUCACCGACUCAGUUUCCCCAUGUGUAUGCUGUGGUAUUGGAUCAGCAACGAGAUAAGAAGAUCUCUCCCAUUUCCAAGCGUCUAUGAUGAUUCUGAGGCACAAGGUCACAUUUGACAGUACUAGGAAACCCAGGAAACAACAAGCAAAGAUGACAAAGGAUGUGUCUGCCUGGGCAGACGAUCUAUUUGGACAAGAUAAUAGACCCAGGCAUGGACAUGCUCUCCAAGAAAGAUGCCCUGACAGCUGCUCACACUGAAGCUGAAUCGAACAUUCCAAUCCUUAGAGCUUCCAGCGAAGAUCUUGAAGUCUCCCUGAGCCACUGACACAAUGGCCAUGCCAUCCCAGUGAUAAAACACAAAUUGUGGCCUUGUUUUGGACAGAAAUAAAGAGCCCAGUUUGUUAGUGA
rnacentral:antisense_RNA from 1 species